rnacentral:rRNA from 1 species
AUGAACAGCGCAGCAGAGACAGACGCCGGCGGCGACAACGGCAACCCGGGCGCCGCGGUGCUGGUGGUGGAGCGCGUGGUGACGGUGGAGUACCUGGAGCAGUCCAUGUCGCGGGGCCUCCUCGGCAAGUUCCCCGACUCCUCCGCCUACGACUUCGACUACUGCCAGAGCGGCAUCUGGUCCCCGGUCAACAAGAUCCCCAGCGAGUCGCCGGCCUCCGGCUCCAGAGACUUCCUCAUCGCCAAGCUGAAGCGCCGGGCGCGGGCCGGGAGCAGGCUCAAGGACGCUGCCGUCGGAGGCGGCAGCAGGUCGAGGUGGCGGCGCCGGCGGCUGCGGCGGGACGGCUCUUUCCUCGACCUCCACGACACCGGCAGGGCGAAGCUGGACUUAUCGCCGCCGCUGCCGUCGCCUGCCCCCACCAAGGAGGGGUGGAGGAGGGUGCUCACGGCGGCCAUCAGGAAGUUCAAGGCGCGCCACCGCCGCUCCCGGCCGGCUCCCCUGCUCCAGAUGAUGCUGCCAAUGCUCUGA